UUGCCUCUGAUCAGAAAAGUGUUUGCUCCUGGAUGGAGACUGGUAAUUGGAAAGAAGAUGAUAACAAAAUUGGCAUCUGGAUUGAGCCUCCAAUAGCACUGUGGAUCAAGCUACUACCACAGGGAGACUUCUAUGGCUAUUUUUGGAAGGCUUUUCUUAUAAACUGAUCUGAUCACACCAACUUUGAUAGCUUCUCAGAGCUGCUGCCAAGAUGGUGCAACUGGAAAGAGCUUGCUUGAUGUGAAAAAUUUAUUGGGAGAAAGAAAGCUUCUACCUAAGACAGACAGAAGGGGGACUCGACUGGAAAGUGGGUUUUUUGUCCCACUGUGUACCUGCCUCACCACAUGGCUUUGCUGUAUAAAACAUCCUUGAAAAGUGGGGUGGGUGAGCAGCCCACUUGCCUAAUCUUUCUUGAUUAGAAGGAGCCUUUCUUCAGUAAAGAAGUACCAUGAGUGGUCAUGCAGAAAAACUGGUUUUCAUAUUCUUUCAGAGGAGAUGAAAUUAUUGACUGCUUUCUUGUUUCAUUUUCUCUAUACAAACAACAAGUCAGAAGUAAUGUGCUGGUGCAGAAGAAUUAAAGGUCAGUUUAAAAUGCCAGCACCUAUUGUUUAAUGUAGAAAGAGAUACAGGCAAAGCAAUUCAAAUACUGUGAGGUGUUUAGGUUGCUGAGAAGGGGAAGGAGGCCCUUAGGCUGUGAUGCUGUGUCUCAUUUACAAGGAGAGUCUGCACCUUGAUUUUAAGUCAUCAGUUACUAUCACCACAUUUCUGGAUGCUUAGAGGCUUCGGAGCGAGAUUCCGCAAAGAAGGAUGCAGGACAUUGAGACAAAACAUGGUGGUAUUGGUGAUCACCUGCCUCCAAUCUGAUAACAGAAAUGUGUGAUUCAUGAAAUUCUUUCUCGCUAGAGCUCACCCUUUCCGUCUGUCUUUAAAUGGGAUUGAAUUCUGCGCCUUGCACGUGCUAAUCUACCACUGAGCUGCAGCCCCAGCCCUUUUUAUUUUUUAAUUUUUUUGAGGCAAAUUCUUGCUGAGUUGACCAGACAUGCCUUGAAUUUGUGAUCCUCCUGCUUCAGC
rnacentral:lncRNA from 1 species